rnacentral:rRNA from 1 species
CUUAAAUUGAAGAGUUUGAUCAUGGCUCAGAUUGAACGCUGGCGGCAGGCCUAACACAUGCAAGUCGAGCGGAAACGACACUAACAAUCCUUCGGGUGCGUUAAUGGGCGUCGAGCGGCGGACGGG